rnacentral:rRNA from 1 species
CAAUAGCGUAUAUUAAAGUUGUUGCGGUUAAAAAGUUCGUAGUUGGAUUUCUGCCAAGGACGACCGGUCCGCCCUCUGGGUGAGUAUCUGGCUUGGCCUGGGCAUCUUCUUGGAGAACGUUGCUGCACUUCGCUGUGUGGCGCGGUAUCCAGGACCUUUACUUUGAGGAAAUUAGAGUGUUUCAAGCAGGCUUUCGCCUUGAAUACAUUAGCAUGGAAUAAUAAGAUAGGACCUCGGUUCUAUUUUGUUGGUUUCUAGAGCUGGGGUAAUGAUUAAUAGGGAUAGUUGGGGGCAUUCGUAUUUAACUGUCAGAGGUGAAAUUCUUGGAUUUGUUAAAGACGGACUACUGCGAANGNAUUUGCNAAGGAUGUUUNCAUUA